rnacentral:rRNA from 1 species
GAUGAACGCUGGCGGCGUGCCUAAUACAUGCAAGUCGAGCGAACAGACGAGGAGCUUGCUCCUCUGACGUUAGCGGCGGACGGGUGAGUAACACGUGGAUAACCUACCUAUAAGACUGGGAUAACUUCGGGAAACCGGAGCUAAUACCGGAUAAUAUAUUAAACCGCAUGGUUCAAUAGUGAAAGACGGUUUUGUUGUCACUUAUAGAUGGAUCCGCGCCGCAUUAGCUGGUUGGUAAGGUAACGGCUUACCAAGGCAACGAUGCGUAGCCGACCUGAGAGGGGGAUCGGCCACACUGGAACUGAGACACGGUCCAGACUCCUACGGGAGGCAGCAGUAGGGAAUCUUCCGCAAUGGGCGAAAGCCUGACGGAGCAACGCCGCGUGAGUGAUGAAGGUCUUCGGAUCGUAAAACUCUGUUAUUAGGGAAGAACAAAUGUGUAAGUAACUAUGCACGUCUUGACGGUACCUAAUCAGAAAGCCACGGCUAACUACGU